rnacentral:rRNA from 1 species
CCUACGGGGGGCAGCAGUGGGGAAUAUUGGACAAUGGGGACAACCCUGAUCCAGCCAUGCCGCGUGUGUGAAGAAGGCCCUCGGGUUGUAAAGCACUUUCAGUGAGGAAGAACGCCUGGUGGUUAAUACCCAUCAGGAAAGACAUCACUCACAGAAGAAGCACCGGCUAACUCCGUGCCAGCAGCCGCGGUAAUACGGAGGGUGCGAGCGUUAAUCGGAAUUACUGGGCGUAAAGCGCGCGUAGGUGGCUUGAUAAGCCGGUUGUGAAAGCCCCGGGCUCAACCUGGGAACGGCAUCCGGAACUGUCAAGCUAGAGUGCAGGAGAGGAAGGUAGAAUUCCCGGUGUAGCGGUGAAAUGCGUAGAGAUCGGGAGGAAUACCAGUGGCGAAGGCGGCCUUCUGGACUGACACUGGCACUGAGGUGCGAAAGCGUGGGUAGCAAACAGGAUUAGAUACCCUAGUAGUC